AACCCGGAGCGGAUUGGUGCACGCGCUUGGGCCGGAUUCAAAUACUUGUUUCGAAAUGAAACAAAAUGACGACGAUUAAGGUGAACGCAUUGUGCUAGGAUAUUAACGCGGUCGUAAAAUCCGGGGAAUUGAACGAGGGUGUAGGCGUAUGUACGUGUAUGUUAUCGUAUGAUCGCGUAUUUGGCAAAAGUACGAGUUUUAAGUAGGAAACGUUUUAAAGUUAGAGAAUUUGUUUUAAUAGGAAUGCUGUACUUAGGAGGAUAAUGAAAAAAUCAUAUCUUUAUACCAUGUGGAUAAAUAUUUUGGAUUGGAUUGGAACCAAAGUCAGAUUUAGGAACGAAAGAAUUAAGAGAUGGACCAUGAUGGUGCUGUUUCAUCUUUGAUCUACGUUUAAUCCAAAUAAAAAAUUUUCUUGAUGAAUGGAACAGAUGAAAGAUAAGGAAAAUUUUGUUAUUUAAAUAAGUCUAUUUCGAUCGAAUCGAACGUGAGAUUUGGAAGAAUAAUAUUUGACAAGUUGAACGAUCGAGGAAAUUGCUUGACUGAUUAAAUAUCGCAAGUUUGAAUAAAAUUAAAAUUUUUAAAAAAAAUACUCGAUAAAUAUAAAUAUAUAUGCUCGAAAACUUGAUGAACUUUAGUUAAAAAUUCUUUGGAAACUACAAAAAUGUAAUAACAAAUUUCAAUAAACAAUAAUAUAUCAAAA